CCUACGGGUGACAGCAGUGAGGAAUAUUGGUCAAUGGGCGCGAGCCUGAACCAGCCAAGUAGCGUGAGGGAUGACUGCCCUACGGGUUGUAAACUUCUUUUGUCAGGGAAUAAAGUGAGGCACGCGUGCCUUUCUGUAUGUACUUUGUGAAUAAGGAUCGGCUAACUCCGUGCCAGCAGCCGCGGUAAUACGGAGGAUGCGAGCGUUAUCCGGAUUUAUUGGGUUUAAAGGGUGCGUAGAGGGGUUGUGAAGUCAGUGGGGAAAGUUUGCGGCUCAACCGUGAAAUUGCAUUUGAUACUGGCAUUCUUGAGUACAGGUGAGGUAGGCGGAAUGCGUGGUGUAGCGGUGAAAUGCAUAGAUAUCACGCAGAACUCCGAUUGCGAAGGCAGCGUACUAAAGUGCCACUGACAUUGAUGCACGAAAGUGUGGGUAUCAAACAGGAUUAGAUACCCGUGUAGUC
rnacentral:rRNA from 1 species